rnacentral:rRNA from 1 species
CCUACGGGUGGCAGCAGUGGGGAAUAUUGGACAAUGGGGGCAACCCUGAUCCAGCCAUGCCGCGUGUGUGAAGAAGGCCCUCGGGUUGUAAAGCACUUUCAGUGAGGAAGAACGCCUGGUGGUUAAUACCCAUCAGGAAAGACAUCACUCACAGAAGAAGCACUGGCUAACUCCGUGCCAGCAGCCGCGGUAAUACGGAGGGUGCGAGCGUUAAUCGGAAUUACUGGGCGUAAAGCGCGCGUAGGUGGCUUGAUAAGCCGGUUGUGAAAGCCCCGGGCUCAACCUGGGAACGGCAUCCGGAACUGUCAAGCUAGAGUGCAGGAGAGGAAGGUAGAAUUCCCGGUGUAGCGGUGAAAUGCGUAGAGAUCGGGAGGAAUACCAGUGGCGAAGGCGGCCUUCUGGACUGACACUGACACUGAGGUGCGAAAGCGUGGGUAGCAAACAGGAUUAGAUACCCUUGUAGUC